AGGUCUUCGGAUGCUGACGAGUGGCGAACGGGUGAGUAAUACAUCGGAACGUGCCCGAUCGUGGGGGAUAACGAAGCGAAAGCUUUGCUAAUACCGCAUAAGAUCUAAGGAUGAAAGCAGGGGACCGCAAGGCCUUGCGCGAACGGAGCGGCCGAUGGCAGAUUAGGUAGUUGGUGGGAUAAAAGCUUACCAAGCCGACGAUCUGUAGCUGGUCUGAGAGGACGACCAGCCACACUGGGACUGAGACACGGCCCAGACUCCUACGGGAGGCAGCAGUGGGGAAUUUUGGACAAUGGGCGAAAGCCUGAUCCAGCCAUGCCGCGUGCAGGAUGAAGGCCUUCGGGUUGUAAACUGCUUUUGUACGGAACGAAAAGACUCUGGUUAAUACCUGGGGUCCAUGACGGUACCGUAAGAAUAAGCACCGGCUAACUACGUGCCAGCAGCCGCGGUAAUACGUAGGGUGCAAGCGUUAAUCGGAAUUACUGGGCGUAAAGCGUGCGCAGGCGGUUAUAUAAGACAGAUGUGAAAUCCCCGGGCUCAACCUGGGAACUGCAUUUGUGACUGUAUAGCUAGAGUACGGU
rnacentral:rRNA from 1 species